CAAGGCGCUGCGCGGCGCAUGCAGAAGCAGCCGCGGGCCGGCGGGGCGCGCAGAUAAGGUCUGGGGGCGCGGGUUUCGGGCUGUACCUGCAUUAUCGCGGCUUCCUUAAGCUCGGAUGAAUAUGUAAAUCUCCCGCCGCCGCCUCCCGGAGCCGCAGCCGCAGCCGUGGGGGCCGCCUCCGCUGUAGCAAUUCCGAGGUAUAUGCUACAACCAGAAGACAUGAUGCCAUCAAGACAUCUGGAGCAUGGCUACCUCCCACGGCCUGUAUUUGGUCCACAGGAAACUCACGCAGUCUUGCUACAGCAAAUUGAGGUGAUAUAGGGUGCCUGCUGCUCCCUCUCUCCUCACCUUGCCACAGAAGUCUGCCCCACUCUGACCCCGACUUCCAGAGUUUCUACAGGACAUGUUCCAUUUCUUGACCUGGGUGAUGGAUGUCUGGAUAUGUUCACUUCACGAAAAUUGCAUCCAUCAAGACACUCAGGAUUUGUGCACCUUUAUUAGGAAGGAGAAGUGGCCUGAGUUGAGAAUGUAUAAAGAUUCCUGGACAGAAGCUAAUGGCCUGGCUGACUGGUCAGAGUCCUGGGAGGAAAAGAAAGGAUUGGAGACAAGGUGGUCUGAAGCUGAGGCAUGUGGAUGGACAUAUGGACAUUGGUGUAAACUCUGAAGAUUUUUUAUCACAUAUUAACUCUGACCAGAAGCUAUCUACCACAGAAGAGUCACUGAAUAACUAAGAAGACAAAAUGACUUAGCCAGUUGACUUUAACUACCCUUCAUCAUUGGCCAUCCCAGAACUGGCAGAAUGGACAAAUGAAUAGCCAUGAUUGUAGAGACAAAGGUUAGUAUGCGUCCGAUCAUAAAUUUUCACUAAGGAAAGACAAUUUAGCUACUGCUGCCACUGAAUACCUAACUUGCCAGCACCAUAGACCAAUACUGAGCCUUCAGAUUUGGCACUAUUCCUCAAGGAGACCAAUGGCCACUUGGUAGCAAGUGUAGAGACAAAAGUUAGUAUGGGUCCAAUCAUGAAUUUCCACUAAGGAAAGACAAUUUAGCUACUGCUGCCAUUGAAUACCUAACUUGCUAGCACCAAGGACCAAUACUGAGCCUCUAGAUCUGGUGCUAUUCCUCAAGGAUACCACUGAGCCACUUGGUAGCAAGUUGACUACAUUGGGACCCUUCUAAUUCUAGAAGAACCAAUGGUUAAACGUUAAUAGGAUAGAUACCUAUUACAGGUAUAGUUCUUCCUUUCUACCUGCAGAGUCUCAGCUAGUACAACUAUUCAGGGAUUUAUAGAAUUUUUGAUUCACAGACAUGGAAUCCCGCAGAAUGUGGCAUCUGUCUAGGAAACCCAUUUUAUAGUGAAGGAGGCGUAAAAUUGAGUCAGUGACCGUAGAGUCUACUGGUUGUAUCAUAUACCAUAUCAUCCAGAAAGAGUUGGCCUUAGGGGCCGGGUGCGGUGGCUCAAGCCUGUAAUCCCAGCACUUUGGGAGGCCGAGGCAGGUGGAUCACGAGGUCAAGAGACCAUCCUGGUCAACAUGGUGAAACCCCGUCUCUACUAAAAAUACAAAAAAUUAGCUGGGCAUGGUGGCGCGCGCCUGUAAUCCCAGCUACUCGGGAGGCUGAGGCAGGAGAAUUGCCCGAACCUAGGAGGCGGAGGUUGUGGUGAGACGAGAUGGUGCCAUUGCACUCCAGCCUGGGUUACAAGAGUGAAGCUCCGUCUCAAAAAAAAAAAAAAAAGAGUUGGCCUUAGAAUGCUAGAAUGGACUCCCAAAUGCACAACUAAA
rnacentral:lncRNA from 1 species